GAUGAACGCUGGCGGCGUGCCUAAUACAUGCAAGUCGAGCGAACAGACGAGGAGCUUGCUCCUCUGACGUUAGCGGCGGACGGGUGAGUAACACGUGGAUAACCUACCUAUAAGACUGGGAUAACUUCGGGAAACCGGAGCUAAUACCGGAUAAUAUAUUGAACCGCAUGGUUCAAUAGUGAAAGACGGUUUUGCUGUCCCUUAUAGAUGGAUCCGCGCCGCAUUAGCAAGUUGGUAAGGUAACGGCUUACCAAGGCAACGAUGCGUAGCCGACCUGAGAGGGGGUUCGGCCACCCUGGAACUGAGACACGGUCCAGACUCCUACGGGAGGCAGCAGUAGGGAAUCUUCCGCAAUGGGCGAAAGCCUGACGGAGCAACGCCGCGUGAGUGAUGAAGGUCUUCGGAUCGUAAAACUCUGUUAUUAGGGAAGAACAAAUGUGUAAGUAACUAUGCACGUCUUGACGGUACCUAAUCAGAAAGCCACGGCUAACUACGUG
rnacentral:rRNA from 1 species